rnacentral:rRNA from 1 species
GGGUUAAUCCCCGAUAGGCGAAGAACUCUGGAAUGAAUCUCCACCUAAAAGGCGCUUGCGCUAUGCUCGCAGGUGUCGCCCAAGGAUGGGGCCGCAACCGAUCAGGUUGUUGGUGAGGUAAUGGCUCACCAAGCCUUUUACCGGUGCGGGCCGUGGGAGCGGGAGCCCGGAUAUGGGCACUGAAACAAGGGCCCAGGCCCUACGGGGCGCACCAUUCGCCAAAACUUUGCAAUACACGAAAGUGUGACAAGGCUAUCCCUACUGCCAUCCGAUGAGGAAGGCUUUUACCCAGUUUAUAACGCUGGGAUAAUAAGGAGAGGGCAAGACUGGUGUCAGACGCCGCGGUAAUACCAGCUCUUCGAGUGGUGUGGAUGUUUAUUGGGCCUAAAGCAUC